AUGAACGCUGGCGGCGUACCUAACGCAUGCAAGUCGAACGGUGUUUUGAAGCAAUUCGAAGCACAGUGGCAAACGGGUGAGUAACACGUGGGUAACCUACCCUGGAGUGGGGAAUAACGAUCCGAAAGGGUCGCUAAGACCGCAUACGCUCGAGAGAGGAAAGGCUCGCAAGAGACGCUCUGGGAGGGGCCUGCGGCCCAUCAGGUAGUUGGCGGUGUAAAGGACCCCCAAGCCGAUGACGGGUAGCUGAUCUGAGAGGAUGACCAGCCACACUGGCACUGAGACACGGGCCAGACUCCUACGGGAGGCAGCAGCGAGGAAUAUUGCGCAAUGGGGGCAACCCUGACGCAGUAACGCCGCGUGCGGGAAGAAGGCCUUCGGGUCGUAAACCGCUUUUCGGGAGGACGAGGAAGGACGGUACUCCUGGAAUAAGUCUCGGCUAACUACGUGCCAGCAGCCGCGGUAAAACGUAGGAGGCGAGCGUUAUCCGGAUUCACUGGGCGUAAAGCGCAUGUAGGUGGUUCGUCGAGUCGACUGUGAAAGCCCCUGGCUCAACUGGGGGAGGUCAGUCGAAACUGGCGGACUGGAGGGCCAGAGAGGAAGGUGGAAUUCCCGGUGUAGCGGUGGAAUGCGUAGAGAUCGGGAGGAACACCAGUGGCGAAGGCGGCCUUCUGGCUGGACCCUGACACUGAGAUGCGAAAGCGUGGGGAGCAAACGGGAUUAGAUACCCCGGUAGUCCACGCCCUAAACGAUGAGGGCUAGGUGUAGGUGGGAUUUCCCAUCCGUGCCGUAGCUAACGCGUUAAGCCCUCCGCCUGGGGACUACGAGCGCAAGCUUAAAACUCAAAGGAAUUGACGGGGGCCCGCACAAGCAGCGGAGCGUGCGGUUCAAUUCGAUGCAACACGAAGAACCUUACCAGGGCUUGACAUGGGCGUGGUAGCGAACCGAAAGGGGAGCGACCCGCAAGGGAGCGUCCACAGGUGAUGCAUGGCUGUCGUCAGCUCGUGCCGUGAGGUGUUGGGUUAAGUCCCGCAACGAGCGCAACCCCUUGUCUGCAUGUUCAUCACGUUGUGGCCUCUGGCAGAGACUGCCGGUGAUAUCCGGAGGAAGGUGGGGAUGACGUCAAGUCAGCAUGUCCUUUAUGUCCUGGGCGACACGCACGUGCUACAAUGGCCGAGACAAUGCCGUCGCCAUACCUGGCAAGUGGAGCUAAUCGCACAAAGUCGUCCUCAGUUCAGAUCGUAGGCUGCAACUCGCCUGCGUGAAGUUGGAAUCGCUAGUAAUCGCGGAUCAGCACGCCGCGGUGAAUACGUUCCCGGGCCUUGUACACACCGCCCGUCACAUCACGAAAGCCGGUUGUACUAGAAGUCGCCACACCAACCCGCAAGGGAGGGAGGCGCCUAAGGUAUGGUCGGUGAUUGGGGUG
rnacentral:rRNA from 1 species